CGGAGAUCACUUCCCAGGCUACGGCGGAACUUUGGAUCCGUGAUCGUAGGUUCGAAUCCUACCGCCCCAG
rnacentral:tRNA from 1 species